rnacentral:rRNA from 1 species
AACGAACGCUGGCGGCGCGCCUAAUACAUGCAAGUCGAGCGAGAAGACGUAGCAAUACGUUUGUAAAGCGGCGAACGGGUGAGGAAUACAUGGGUAACCUACCCUCGAGUGGGGAAUAACUAGCCGAAAGGUUAGCUAAUACCGCGUACGCUCCUUGGACUUCGGUUCAGGGAGGAAAGCGAUACCGUGGGUAUCGCGCUCUUGGAUGGGCUCAUGUCCUAUCAGCUUGUUGGUGGGGUAACGGCUCACCAAGGCUUCGACGGGUAGCUGGUCUGAGAGGACGAUCAGCCACACUGGCACUGCGACACGGGCCAGACUCCUACGGGAGGCAGCAGUAAGGAAUAUUGCGCAAUGGGCGAAAGCCUGACGCAGCGACGCCGCGUGGGGGAUGAAGGUCUUCGGAUUGUAAACCCCUUUCGGGAGGGAAGAUGGAACGAGCAAUCGUUCGGACGGUACCUCCAGAAGCAGCCACGGCUAACUUCGUGCCAGCCGCCGCCGUAAGACCUGAACUGCC